AUCGCUUCUCGGCCUUUUGGCUAAGAUCAAGUGUAGUAUCUGUUCACGUCAGCUUAAUAAUAAGUUGCAUUUCAGAAAACAAGGAAAUGGCAUCUUUUAUCUCUAACUAGGCUCUGGAAUUAAUUUGCUCUUUUUUACUUGCAUCAAUA
rnacentral:snRNA from 1 species